rnacentral:rRNA from 1 species
AUUAGCUAGUUGGUGAGGUAAUGGCUCACCAAGGCGACGAUCCGUAACUGGUCUGAGAGGAUGAUCAGUCACACUGGAACUGAGACACGGUCCAGACUCCUACGGGAGGCAGCAGUGGGGAAUAUUGGACAAUGGGCGAAAGCCUGAUCCAGCCAUGCCGCGUGUGUGAAGAAGGUCUUCGGAUUGUAAAGCACUUUAAGUUGGGAGGAAGGGCAGUUGCCUAAUACGUAACUGUUUUGACGUUACCGACAGAAUAAGCACCGGCUAACUCUGUGCCAGCAGCCGCGGUAAUACAGAGGGUGCAAGCGUUAAUCGGAAUUACUGGGCGUAAAGCGCGCGUAGGUGGUUUGUUAAGUUGGAUGUGAAAUCCCCGGGCUCAACCUGGGAACUGCAUUCAAAACUGACUGACUAGAGUAUGGUAGAGGGUGGUGGAAUUUCCUGUGUAGCGGUGAAAUGCGUAGAUAUAGGAAGGAACACCAGUGGCGAANGCGACCACCUGGACUGAUACUGACACUGAGGUGCGAAAGCGUGGGGAGCAAACAGGAUUAGAUACCC